AAAAACAACACCAUGGCAAUUCUGCUGAAAACAGCGUUAGUCCGGGUUAGUUCCAUUCAAAUCAUGCAAAUUAGAGUCCAAAACAAGGGCAAAAGAUUUUGGAAAAGUAGAUACGAUGGAGACGUAUCAACUCCCCCAAGCUUAAAGCCUUGCUUGUCCUCAAGCAAUUCAGUUGACAAACUGAAAGAGACAAAAGAAAAA
rnacentral:lncRNA from 1 species